UACGUAGGGGGGCGAGCGUUGUCCGGAAUCACUGGGCGUAAAGCGCGCGUAGGCGGCUGUGCGCAUCCGGUGUGAAAGCCCCCGGCUCAACUGGGGGGAGGACACUGGAGAUGGCGCAGCUAGAGGACCGUAGAGGCAAGGGGGAAGUCCCGCAGUAGCGGUGAAAUUCGUAGAUAUCGGGAGGAACACCAGUGGCGAAGGCGGCGAUCUGGGGAAGAUACUGACGCUGAGGUGCGAAAGCGUGGGGAGCAAACAGG
rnacentral:rRNA from 1 species